CCUUGGCCUCAGUUCCUGCCCUGCCAGGCCUCACCUCCUUGUGCCUCUUUUCCAGCUCCCUGGGCCAAGAGGAAGUGGAAGAUCUGGCUCUGAAGCCCCGGAGGUGGUACUCCCUGGUUCCAGAGUAGGUAAGGCCUAGAGUUCCCUCUAGCAAGGCCUGGGACGACCACCAAGGAUACAUCACCCAAUGCCUUCUUCAGGACGUGGAGAGGGGCCUCCUGCAGAGACCUUCCAGGUGGCAGGCAAGAGCAACGCGAAUCAUCGGAGGGAUCAUCAGCCACAUCAGAGACAGCACUCGCCUGGAGAGAACUGGCAAAGAUCAUCUUGAUGCUAGUGACUUGCAUGUCCUUCAACCAGACCUCCAAGAAGAUGCUAGAAGAUCCCACAAUAUGCCCUGAGGGAAUGGCCUACAAGUUGUAGUAAGAAGCCAAGGAAUGCAGGAGGUUCAGGGACAAGGUCCAGCUUGGUCUCUCUGGCUGGGAUCCCUCAUGGGGCCUCGG
rnacentral:lncRNA from 1 species